rnacentral:rRNA from 1 species
CAAUAGGCGGAGGAGAAGAAACUAACCAGGAUUCCCCCAGUAACGGCGAGUGAAGAGGGAAGAGCCCAGCACCGAAGCCUGCGGCAGGUUUGCUGUUAGGCAAUGUGGUGUGUGGGUCGGCUGGCGGGACCGUCGUUCCACCCGAAGUCCAGCAUUGAGUAUGGUAACCACUGGAAUUGGCCCAUAGAGGGUGAGAGGCCCGUGCGGGUGGGAGUUCAGGCAUGUAAGACGGUUCACCAGGUCGACCUCAGAGUCGGGUUGUUUGAGAUUGCAGCCCAAAGUGGGUGGUAGACUCCAUCCAAGGCUAAAUACAGGCACGAGUCCGAUAGCGAACAAGUACCGUGAGGGAAAGUUGAAAAGUACUCUGAAGAGAGAGUAAACAGUACGUGAAACCGCAUGCAGGUAAACGGGUGGCGUCAAGCUGCAAGCCCGGAGGAUUCAGCUGGCUGGGUUGUAAUGUGCGUGCGCGAUUGCGCCUGUGGUGGCCGCUGCAUAGGCGGUCGCAUGGGCAAGAUGAGCUGUGCGGCGGUGACGGCGGCGGCGAGUGGUCCAUCCCUGAUGUGGGGGUGGGGGGUGGUCGGUCGGUCGGUCGGUCGGUCGGUCGGUCGNNNNNNNNNNNNNNNNNNNNNNNNNNNNNNNNNNNNNNNNNNNCGAAACCCCCAGGCGUAGUGAAAGUAAAGUUCGCGUCGUGCGUGCCCACGCGAAUGCGUGGUGCGGUGCGGUGUGGCGCGGCGAGGUGAGAUCCAACCUUGAGUCGGUCGUUGGUCGUGUGUGCGUGCGUGCGUGCGUGCGUGCGUGCGUGCGUGCGUGCGUUUGUCCGAUUGGUCGGCGGGUGGGCGCAUCACCGGCCCGUCCCAUGAUGUGGUUAUUGGUAAUGGCGUUGCUUUGCUGUGUGCAUGCGCAUGUGCGUGCGCACAUGCGCGUGGUAGUGCCGGCCAAUGCGUCAUCGGGGCGGAGCAUGAGCGCACAUGUUGAGACCCGAAAGAUGGUGAACUAUGCUUGCGUAGGUUGAAGCCAGAGGAAACUCUGGUGGAGGACCGUAGCGAUUCUGACGUGCAAAUCGAUCGUCAAACGCGAGUAUAGGGGCGAAAGAC